AGUGUGACACGUUAUACUUCAUUUAAAAUUAUUUUUUUAAUAAUUCUAAUUUAAAAAGCAUUGUUUUAUCACUCAAUAUUAAUUGAACGUAUGCGUAGAAUACUUUAAAAAAAAUUGUGUCACCCACUAUUGAAAACGAGAAGCUUCUAGAAAGCACACACUCGCAGUCUCGCACGCACUCUCUCUCUCAUUCUCACACACACUCACAGCGCGCCAGUCUGUUCUCUUCUGGAAGCUUCUCGUUUCUUCUCCGUCCUCCAAUCACAAUCAGAGCAGCACACUCGACUCACGCGGGCGAAGACACGCCUGUUUUUUCAGUAAGCCUUGACCGUUACUAUGACCUUCAGGAAAAUAAACCUAGUCACCGUAGCCAUACAGAUCCAGUCAGAUGGUCACUGUAGCCACUCAGAUCCAGACCAUAUCCAGAGCAGAUGGAGGAUCAGCACCUAGAGGCGACCUCUACAGUCCUGAA